rnacentral:lncRNA from 1 species
CUUGUAGCUGUCAACGGAUGACUGUUCAAGUUCGUCAGCCCCUGACUGGGAGCAGCGGCGGAGGGCAGGAGGCUGCCCUGGGAGGCCAACUCCUUAAAUGCACACCUGACCGACGGGUACGCCCCUGCUGUGGGGCCAGGCAGGAGAGCAGCACCGGGGCACCCAGGACCACACACCGAGAAGUGUGAACCCAGCGUGGCCUGGCGUCCCAUCAGCAGGUGAGGGUCAUCUUUCAGGCCUGUUUCACUUCCUCAAAA